rnacentral:rRNA from 1 species
AAAAGAAACUAACAAGGAUUCCCCUAGUAACUGCGAGUGAAGCGGGAAAAGCUCAAAUUUAAAAUCUGGCGGUCCUCGCGGCCGUCCGAGUUGUAAUCUGGAGAAGUGUUUUCCGCGCUGGACCGUGUACAAGUCUCCUGGAACGGAGCGUCAUAGAGGGUGAGAAUCCCGUCUUUGACACGGACUACCAGUGCUUUUGUGAUACGCUCUCAACGAGUCGAGUUGUUUGGGAAUGCAGCUCAAAAUGGGUGGUAAAUUCCAUCUAAAGCUAAAUAUUGGCGAGAGACCGAUAGCGAACAAGUACCGUGAGGGAAAGAUGAAAAGAACUUUGGAAAGAGAGUUAAACAGUACGUGAAAUUGUUAAAAGGGAAACGCUUGAAGUCAGUCGCGUCGUCCGGGGAUCAACCUUGCAUUUAUGCUGGGCGUACUUUCCGGUUGACGGGUCAGCAUCAAUUUUGACCGUUGGAUAAAGUUCAGGGGAAUGUGGCAUCCUCGGAUGUGUUAUAGCCCUUGUUCGCAUACAACGAUUGGGAUUGAGGAACUCAGCACGCCUUUAUGGUCGGGGUUUACCCACGUAACGUGCUUAGGAUGCUGGCAUAAUGGCUUUAAUCGACCCGUCUUGAAACACGGACCAAGGAGUCUAACAUGCCCGCGAGUGUUUGGGUGGAAAACCCGAGCGCGUAAUGAAAGUGAAAGUUGAGAUCCCUGUCGUGGGGAGCAUCGACGCCCGGACCAGACGUUCUCUGACGGUUCCGCGGUAGAGCGUGUAUGUUGGGACCCGAAAGAUGGUGAACUAUGCCUGAAUAGGGUGAAGCCAGAGGAAACUCUGGUGGAGGCUCGUAGCGAUUCUGACGUGCAAAUCGAUCGUCGAA